rnacentral:tRNA from 2 species
GGCGGUGUAGCUCAGCGGUAGAGCAGGGGAAUCAUAAUCCCUGUGUCCGGGGUUCAAAUCCCUGCACCGCCACCA